GCCGGGGUGGCGGAACUGGCAGACGCACAGGACUUAAAAUCCUGCGAAGGGAAAUCUUCGUACCGGUUCGAAACCGGUCCUCGGCA
rnacentral:tRNA from 4 species